UUUUUUAACAUUUAUUUAUUUUUUCUUAGACACAACAUCUUUGUUUGUAUGUGGUGCUGAGGAUCGAACCUGGGCCGCACGCAUGCCAGGCGAGCGCGCUACCGCUUUAGCCACAUCCCCAGCCCAUCAUGACAACUUCUGCCACUGAGGAUUUAUCACCAUGACAACGCCCAACACAGGUAUCUAUAAUUAGGAGUUUGCUUUUGGUUUCAAAAGAAACUUUGGACUUCAGUUUUUUGAGCAUCCUUUGGGGACUCCAGGAGAUAGACCGGAUGCAUUUUGGGUGAAUGGGCAGGUAAGAAAAUGGGACCGACAUGAAUCUUAGGUGGGUGGAGGCAAAUGCUAUAGAAGGAAUCUCAAGUGUUCUCCUAAGACCCAGGUGUUAAAGGUUUGGUGCCGAGUGGAGCUAGUAGAGCUGAUGGGGGCCUUUAACAGUGGGGCCUAUUGGAGGUCUUUAGGUCAUUGGGGUGGGCCCUUUCAAGCAGUUUUGGGACCCCGACCCCUCUAAUUCUCUUUGGCUUCCUGGACAUGAGGUGAGCAGUUUUAUUCCAACACAUGCUCUUGGCUUUAUGUAUGUGCUUCAUUGCUGCAGAUCCAAAAGCAACAGAACCAAGUAACUGUAGACUGGAAACUUCAAAACUGUGAACCAAAUUCAACCUUUUCUCUUUAUAAGUGGACUGUCUUGGGUAUUUAUAUGUUAUAGUAAAAUAAACCUGACUACACAGUGACCUUCCCAUUUUGGACUGUGGAAUCCUAGUGAAUUUUUCCAGUGUACAUUCCAAAUUUUAUGCCAUGUUCUCAUGACCGUGUUUCUUUCCCCUCUGUUCCAUCUUCUACCGUCUAACAGUAGAAGCUGAGGGUAGAUUCCCUGUAGUAAUGAGUCAGUCCCCUAGUAGCUGAACAACUGACUGUCUAGGCCCAACAGCCUGAGGAAAAACAGCAAAGGGAGCAGAGCUUUAAUUUCCAAGCUUUCACUAAAGGAAAGUAGCAUAUAAAAAAGAGAAAGAGGCUCUUUCUUGUUCAUUUCUCCACCAGCCCUCUUCCAAGCUGUUCGUCUAUUACCAUGAGCCGGUUGUGUUGGGCGUGGGAUGUGAAGACCUGUGCACAAGAGACUUGUGUUUAUCACUUAAGACAAACCAAAGCAAUUUUUUUUUCCCCAAAGGAAAUUUUAUAGAAAUCAGAUAAGAGAAAGCAAACAUACUAUACUCAGGUAGAAAUUAGAGGUCAUUCAGGAUCAACACUUUGGGAGAGGGAAGCAAAAUCACUCAUCAGUUCUACUCAUUUAUCAAAGCAUAGCCACACCAAAGGAUAAGCCACACUCAGAUGGAGUUCUCUUUCUCAACACUGACACCAGGCUGCUAAAACACCUUCUUGUCUUUACUUUGGUUUCCCAGGUAUUUCAAACUUAGGGAGGAGGAACCCUGGAUGGGUAAUACAAAUAUCUCAUCUCUAGAAAAGACUGUGCUCCAUUAUAAGUUGAACUUGCAGUCUGUUGUAAUUACCACUGAAAACCAGGAUGAAACCUUGAAACAGGGAGACCCAGACAAGGCCUCAAAACACCUGGUUUACAGCUCCAGUACUUAUGUAGUCACUCUGUCAUAGCUUUUACAAUCAGAACAUAAUAUCUUCAAAUUCCACCAGAGGAAAUAUUCACUGGUUUUAAAAAAAAAAAAGAUUCUGAUUUUUAGGGUAAUUAAAAUAUGGGGGAAAGGCAUAUUUUAGGAUCAGUGAAAUGUAUUCUACAGAAAAUUAUUCAAAGAAUGUAUUAAAUAUUAUGUGAAUUAAAUUGGCACAUAAUAAUAAUCAGUAGCAUUUCCUUAAAGCUAGUUAUCAUUUUUUUUUCACUUCUCAGUUGAAAUGAAGAAUGGGCUGGCAUUUACUUUUAAUCUAGGAGAUAUUUUGCACAAACUGUAAAAUGUAUUAAUAUUCAAUUUGGAAAUCGUAUGAUUUACAUUUCCAGGGUCUCGGAUAAGGAGGUGUCAUAAAUGAGACUUUCAUUAAGUACCUCAUUUACAGCCAGAAACCAGAGACAAGUCUUGAAUCUAGGUCUGUUGCAACCUUCUCUGUGUUGUGUAUGUGUGUGCUUUUUUUAACAAAUAAAAAAAUCAAGUGAUGCAUUAAUAUUCUUUGGUCUGAAACUACAAAUAAAGAAUUAUUUUUUUCUAAA